GUCGAGUUGAGUAGAAUAUUCCUUAUGAAUGGCUAAAUCUGAGAAAUCUCGGACUACGAAGUGCAUGUAAAAUAUAAGCAAAUCUACUUUGUCUUACCUGUAUGAGUAGCGUUCUAUUGCGUAUAUGUUUCUGUUAUAUCAAAAUGAUAAUAAAUUGCGGCAUACUGGCCAAAGAAGUGUUUUUCGUCCUUCCCCUUGCAACCAUGUCCACUUCGCCG
rnacentral:lncRNA from 1 species